UUUCGCAAUGCCCGAAAGGGUGACGAAGCGACGCCGCGUGUGGGAAGAAGGCCUUCGGGUUGUAAACCACUGUCGAGAGUUAGGAAAUGCAGGUGCGUUAAUAGCGCACUUGCUUGACUAAGGCUCCAGAGGAAGCCACGGCUAACUCUGUGCCAGCAGCCGCGGUAAUACAGAGGCGGCAAGCGUUGUUCGGAAUUAUUGGGCGUAAAGAGCACGUAGGCGGCCUUGCAAGUCAGUUGUGAAAGCCUUCCGCUUAACGGAAGAACGGCAUCUGAUACUACAGGGCUUGAGUACGGGAGGGGAGAGUGGAACUUCUGGUGGAGCGGUGAAAUGCGUAGAUAUCAGAAGGAACGCCGGCGGCGAAAGCGACUCUCUGGUCCGAAACUGACGCUGAGUGUGCGAAAGCUAGGGGAGCAAACGGGAUUAGAUACCCCGGUAGUCCUAGCCGUAAACGAUGGGCACUAAGUAGAGGGGUUUU
rnacentral:rRNA from 1 species